UCGAUCUUCUCUGCUCGUCAAUGUGCUUCGAUCCUCUGCUCCUCUCCUCGUUGAGCUUCGAUUCUCUACUCGUUGAGAUUCAAUCAUCUGCUUGUUGAGCUUCGGUCCUCUACUUCUCUUUUCGUCGAGCUUCGAUCCUCUCUGCUCGCGUUCAUCACCAUCAGUCACUGUUCGAUUAUCACUGCUCGUGUUUUUGGUGAGAUUCUCAUUUUUGGCAUUCUUCUGCAGGCUGCUUUUCUAUUAGCUUUGGUUGGAUCAUAAGUUGCAUAUUCUGCUGCACAAGCUACAGUGGUAACUCUCUCGGAGGCUUACAAAACAACUAAAAAUCACGAUCAUUUCCAAGAAACACAUCACUACAAGGAGAUUGAUAAAAAAAUAUUUACGGAUCUUUGAUAAACACUAAGUGCAAAUUGUGCAUAUAUAGCAAAUUGUUGCGGCAUGACCUCAAAUACAAUGGAAACAAGAACUACUCUAAAGCGGAGAAGACUGGUAAAACAGUAUCAAAGCAACAAGGAAUUCAUGCAGAAAAAUACAGCAAAAAUUCAUAAGAAGCAGCAUUUUAUCUCUCCCAUGAUGGCUGGUGGUCAUAGACAAAAGAGAGUGACUCCUAUGCCUUCUAAGCAAA